UUCACUGUGGGCGUUUAGAGAUAAUGCUCCAAUCUUCAUGGUCUAGCCUUUCAGGGACUCAUAACUAACUGAUGGGGAGAAGUUUCAGACCUUCUAGAACCAUUGUGGAAUAGAUCAUAAAAGUUAAAAGUGACCUUAAAGAUAUUAUAUUAUUCUAUUUUUAUAAACUAUCAAUACUGAGACCCAAAGAGGGUCGGUAAUUUGUUUAAAUCUGGAAGUUUCUAAGGGUUAGAAGUGAAACUUGGGACCUGGAUCUAAGUUGAAUAAUCUUCCUUUGCCACCUGCUAAGGGAACAAAAGAGAGUGUUCAGCAGCCACACCGAGAUGGGAAUAGCAAUUAGAGGCAGUUAUCGUCCUGACACUCCGUGGCAGGCAAGGCCUCACCGUGCGGCAGAACUGGGUGGAAGAUGAUCUGAAUAUCACAGAGUACACUUGUCCAAAACAGUCCCUCCUGUCAGACAAAGAUUCACCAGGUCUUGUGGGAAAGCCUUGGAAUAUGAUUACUCAGCUUGGGAUUCAGCCUUCCCAAUCCUCAUUUAUCGCCCAGUGAUAGACAACAGAAAUAUUUUUCCUGGACAAACUUCACCACUUACAGACAAGGAUUUGCAUCAGGGCAAACUUUCAGAACUCCUAAUCAGAUAUCAGUGUAAUUCCCAAAGAAUGGGCUCUUCAGUCUUGAAUAAGACCACAUAUGGGGCCUCAACAUUAUAAUCCACGUUGGAAUUCAUACACUGGAAUGAGCCUUUCUAAUUAGCAUUGAGUUUCUCCAUAUCGAAUGGCAAUGGAGAAGGUAAAACAAAAUCUCUGGAAUUGGAUUUGACUUCUGACUCUGCAACUUAUAAAUUGACUCUGCGAUCCAGUCUUGGCCAAUGAAAAACUCUCCUCCCUAAGAACCACUCAUCUGCUUUCUGUCACCGCAGAAGCAUCUACAUUUCAGAGUUUUAUAGAAAUGGAACCAGAGACUAUGUACUCUUUUUAUCAGACUUAUUUUACUCACAGUAAUUAUUGAAAGAUUUGUCUGUGUUGUUGUGUGUAUCAGUAGUUUAUUCCUUUUUGUUACCGAGCAACAUUCCGUUGUAUAAAGAUACCGUGAUCUGUUUAUCCAUGUUUACCUUUCGAGUUUUGCCCAGUUCUAAGCUUCUAUGAAUAUUCAUGUACUUGUCUUUGUAUGAAUGUAUGCUUUCUUUCUUUUCUUUUUUUUAAGAUUUUAUUUAUUUAUUUGAAAGUGAGAGAGCAAGAGAGAGAA